rnacentral:tRNA from 1 species
GCAAAGAUAGCUUAAAGUAAAAGCAAAGCACUGAAAACGCUUAAAUAAAGGUUCAAAUCCUUUUCUUAGCA